rnacentral:rRNA from 1 species
ACAGUGGACGAAAGUCUGAUGGAGCAACGCCGCGUGAGCGAUGAAGGCCUUCGGGUCGUAAAGCUCUGUUGUUAGGGAAGAACAAGUGCGAGAGUAACUGCUCGCACCUUGACGGUACCUAACCAGAAAGCCACGGCUAACUACGUGCCAGCAGCCGCGGUAAUACGUAGGUGGCAAGCGUUGUCCGGAAUUAUUGGGCGUAAAGCGCGCGCAGGUGGUCCUUUAAGUCUGAUGUGAAAGCCCACGGCUCAACCGUGGAGGGUCAUUGGAAACUGGGGGACUUGAGUGCAGAAUAGGAAAGUGGAAUUCCAAGUGUAGCGGUGAAAUGCGUAAAGAUUUGGAGGAACACCAGUGGCGAAGGCGACUUUCUGGUCUGUAACUGACACUGAGGCGCGAAAGCGUGGGGAGCAAACAGGAUUAGAUACCCUGGUAGUCCACGCCGUAAACGAUGAGUGCUAAGUGUUAGAGGGUUUCCGCCCUUUAGUGCUGCAGCUAACGCAUUAAGCACUCCGCCUGGGGAGUACGGUCGCAAGAAUGAAACUCAAAGGAAUUGACGGGGGCCCGCACAAGCGGUGUAGCAUGUGGUUUAAUUCGAAGCAUCGCGGAGAACCUUACCAGGUCUUGACAUCCUCUGACACUCCUAGAGAUAGGACGUUCCCCUUCGGGGGACAGAAUGACAGGUGGUGCAUGGUUGUCGUCAAC